rnacentral:rRNA from 1 species
AGUGAACGCUGGCGGUAGGCCUAACACAUGCAAGUCGAACGGCAGCACAGUAAGAGCUUGCUCUUACGGGUGGCGAGUGGCGGACGGGUGAGGAAUACAUCGGAAUCUACUUUUUCGUGGGGGAUCACGUAGGGAAACUUACGCUCAUACCGCAUACGACCUACGGGUGAAAGAAGGGGAUCUUCUGACCUUGCGCGAUUGAAUGCGCCGAUGUCGGAUUUGCUAGUUGGCGGGGUAAAGGCCCACCAAGGCGAGGAUCCGUAGCUGGUCUGAGAGGAUGAUCAGCCACACUGGAACUGAGACAGGGUCCAGACUCCUACGGGAGGCAGCAGUGGGGAAUAUUGGACAAUGGGCGCAAGCCUGAUCCAGCCAUACCGCGUGUGUGAAGAAGGCCUUCGGGUUGUAAAGCCCUUUUGUUGGGAAAGAAAAGCAGCAGGUUAAUACCCCGCUGUUCUGACGGUACUCAAAGAAUAAGCACCGGCUAACUUCGUG